rnacentral:rRNA from 1 species
UACGUAGGGAGCAAGCGUUGUCCGGAAUCAUUGGGCGUAAAGCGCGUGUAGGCGGUCCGGUAAGUCCGCUGUGAAAGUCGGGGGCUCAACCCUCGGAUGCCGGUGGAUACUGUCGGGCUUGAGUACGGGAGAGGCGAGUGGAAUUCCUGGUGUAGCGGUGAAAUGCGCAGAUAUCAGGAGGAACACCAAUUGCGAAGGCAGCUCGCUGGAACGUUACUGACGCUGAGACGCGAAAGCGUGGGGAGCAAACAGG